CGGCCAGAUCACGUUAAAAAAAAGUUCUCAUCCGUUCACCAAAAUUAAGCAACGUUGAGCCUGGUCAGUACGUAGAUGGGUGACCGUUUGGGAAUACCGGAUGCUGUGA